rnacentral:rRNA from 1 species
UACGAAGGGGGCUAGCGUUGCUCGGAAUGACUGGGCGUAAAGGGCGCGUAGGCGGCUUGCACAGUCAGGCGUGAAAUUCCUGGGCUCAACCUGGGGACUGCGCUUGAGACGUGUGGGCUUGAGUGGGGAAGAGGGUCGUGGAAUUCCCAGUGUAGAGGUGAAAUUCGUAGAUAUUGGGAAGAACACCGGUGGCGAAGGCGGCUCUCUGGGACGGUACUGACGCUGAGACGCGAAAGCGUGGGGAGCGAACAGG